rnacentral:misc_RNA from 1 species
UCCCGGUUAACCCGGGCAGUCUCAUUAGAGUUCCCACCUUAAAUGUUGGCAACUAAUGAUAAGGGUUGCGCUCGUUGCUGGACUUAACCAAACACCUCACGGCACGAGCUGACGACAGCCAUGCAGCACCUGUGCACUGGCCCCGAAGGGAAAUAUCAUCUCUGAUAUCGUCCAGUGCAUGUCAAACCUGGGUAAGGUUCUUCGCGUUGCAUCGAAUUAAACCACAUGCUCCACUGCUUGUGCGGGUCCCCGUCAAUUCUUUUGAGUUUCAGCCUUGCGACUGUACUCCUCAGGCGGUAUACUUAUCGCGUUUGCUUCGGCACAACCGGGGUUGAGUCCAGUUACACCAAGUAUACAUCGUUUAAGGCAAGGACUAC